rnacentral:misc_RNA from 1 species
UAAAAUUUGUACUUUUUAUAGCCAUAAUGUUUACGAAAUUCGUUGAUAUUAAGACGACGAUAUAAGAUAGUUAGCACGUCCGGUUAUGACCCCGAACAGUACUAAAUUAAGCCACAUUCUGAGACGUGUGGCUUUCCUUUUUCUUCCCCUUUACUUCUUGUUUUACCUAUUCUUUUCUAGAUGUAUCCAUUCUAUGUUGUAUUAAAAAAUCUAAUCAAUAAUGACGAUAUUAUCAGUCUGAUCUGUAUGUAAUUGAGCUUUAUUUUGUUCGAU